UAAGACGGAGGGUGCGAGCGUUGUUCGGAAUUAUUGGGCGUAAAGCGCGUGUAGGCGGCUUGGUAAGUCGGGUGUGAAAGCCCGGGGCCCAACCCCGGAACUGCAUUCGAUACUGCCUCGCUAGAGUCCCGGAGAGGAGAGCGGAAUUCCCGGUGUAGAGGUGAAAUUCGUAGAUAUCGGGGGGAACACCAGCGGCGAAGGCGGCUCUCUGGACGGUGACUGACGCUGAGACGCGAAAGCGUGGGGAGCAAACAGGAUUAGAUACCCUGGUAGUCCACGCCGUAAACGUUGGGUGCUAGGUGUCGCGGGUAUUGACCCCUGCGGUGCCGUCGCUAACGCAUUUAGCACCCCGCCUGGGGAGUACGGUCGCAAGGCUA
rnacentral:rRNA from 1 species